AUGAUGCAUGUCAGUAUGAUGUUAUUAAGCUAUGCAACUCUUUUGUGCGGAUCCUUAUUAUCUGCCGCUAUUCUAAUCAUUAGAUUUCGAAAUAAUUUCCAUUUCUUUUCUAAAAAGAAAAAAAAUGUUUUAAAUAAAACAUUUCUCUUUAGUGAUAUUAAAUAUUUUUAUGCAAAAAGAAGUGCUUUAAAAAGAACCUCUGUCCCUUCAUUUCCAAAUUAUUACAAAUAUCAAUUAACGGAGCGUUUGGAUUCUUGGAGUUAUCGUGUCAUUAGCCUAGGAUUUACCCUUUUAACCGUAGGUAUUCUUUGUGGAGCAGUAUGGGCUAAUGAGGCCUGGGGAUCCUAUUGGAAUUGGGAUCCUAAGGAAACUUGGGCAUUUAUUACUUGGAGCAUAUUCGCAAUUUAUUUACAUAGUAGAACAAAUCCAAAUUGGAAGGGUACGAAUUCUGCACUUAUAGCUUCGAUAGGAUUUCUUAUAAUUUGGAUUUGUUAUUUUGGUAUAAAUCUAUUAGGAAUAGGCUUACAUAGUUAUGGUUCAUUUACAUUAACACCUAAAUGA
rnacentral:rRNA from 1 species